rnacentral:rRNA from 1 species
UGGGAAAUUUCAUCGUGAUGGGGAUAGAUCAUUGCAAUUGUUGGUCUUCAACGAGGAAUGCCUAGUAAGCGCGAGUCAUCAGCUCGCGUUGACUACGUCCCUGCCCUUUGUACACACCGCCCGUCGCUCCUACCGAUUGAAUGGUCCGGUGAAGUGUUCGGAUCGCGGCGACGGGGGCGGUUCGCCGCCCCCGACGUCGCGAGAAGUCCAUUGAACCUUAUCAUUUAGAGGAAGGAGAAGUCGUAACAAGGUUUCCGUAGGUGAACCUGCGGAAGGAUCAUU